rnacentral:rRNA from 1 species
GAUGAACGCUGGCGGCGUGCCUAAUACAUGCAAGUCGAGCGAACAGACGAGGAGCUUGCUCCUCUGACGUUAGCGGCGGACGGGGGAGUAACACGUGGAUAACCUACCUAUAAGACUGGGAUAACUUCGGGAAACCGGAGCUAAUACCGGAUAAUAUAUUGAACCGCAUGGUUCAAUAGUGAAAGACGGUUUUGCUGUCACUUAUAGAUGGAUCCGCGCCGCAUUAGCUAGUUGGUAAGGUAACGGCUUACCAAGGCAACGAUGCGUAGCCGACCUGAGAGGGUGCUCGCCCACCGUGGAACUGAAACACGGUCCAGCCUCCUACGGGAGGCAGCGGAAGGGAGUCUUCCGCAAGGGGCGAAAGCCUGAGGGGACAGCGCCGGGUGAGGGAUGAUGGUCUUCGAAUCUAAAAACUCUUUUAUGAGGAAAAAAAAAAUGUGAAAGUACCUAUGCACGCCUUAAGGUUACAUAAUAAGAAAGCCCCGGCUACCUACGUC